GGAUCUCCACAAGGGCAAAUGUACCUUCAAUCAUGAGGUCAUUCCUGGGGCAUGCUGACCAGAAAACAACUGUUACUGUCUCACCUCUCUUGAAGAUAGAAUUCUUUGGAACAUCAGAAAUGCAAUCACCAAAAUUUACACCACCAGGGGUUGUAUCCAUUACAACUGGGGGAAGCAAGCUUAUUUGCUUAUUUAGGAGAUCAGGUGGUUGCGGACCAGGCUC
rnacentral:misc_RNA from 1 species